rnacentral:rRNA from 1 species
AGGUUCUGAUUUGCUUAUUGCACCACAUGUGUUUUUUAUUGAACAAAUUUCUUUGGUGGCGGGAGCAAUCCUACCGCCAGAGGUUAUAACUAAACCAAACUUUUUAUUUACAGUCAAACUUGAUUUAUUAUUACAAUAGUCAAAACUUUCAACAACGGAUCUCUUGGUUCUCGCAUCGAUGAAGAACGCAGCGAAAUGCGAUACGUAAUAUGAAUUGCAGAUAUUCGUGAAUCAUCGAAUCUUUGAACGCACAUUGCGCCCUUUGGUAUUCCAAAGGGCAUGCCUGUUUGAGCGUCAUUUCUCCCUCAAACCCCCGGGUUUGGUGUUGAGCAAUACGCUAGGUUUGUUUGAAAGAAUUUAACGUGGAAACUUAUUUUAAGCGACUUAGGUUUAUCCAAAAACGCUUAUUUUGCUAGGGGCCACCACAAUUUAUUUCAUAACUUUGACCUCAAAUCAGGAAGAACUACCCGCUAAACUUAACCAUAUCAAAGGGCGAAGAAA